GCCAGGUGUAGUGGUGUGCACCUGUAAUCCUAGCUACUCAGGAGGCUGAGGAGGAAGAAUGGCUUAAGUUCAGGAGUUUGAGGCUGCAGUGAGCUAUGAUUCCACCACUGCAGUCUAGCCUGGGCAACAGAGUAAGAUCCUGUCUCUA
rnacentral:SRP_RNA from 1 species